GGGGCCGUAGGGUAGUGGUAUCCUCGCUGCCUUGGGUGCAGUGGACCUGAGUUCGACUCUCAGCGGCCCCA
rnacentral:tRNA from 2 species